rnacentral:rRNA from 1 species
UUCGCCCUUCGGUUGAUCCUGCCGGAAGUUACUGCUAUCGGUAUUCGACUAAGCCAUGCGAGUUAAAUGUUCUUCGUGAACAUAGCGAACUGCUCAGUAACACGUGGAUAACCUGCCCUUAGGUUCGGCAUAACUCCGGGAAACUGGAGAUAAUUCCGAAUAAACCAUUCAUGCUGGAAUGCUUUUUGGUUCAAAGACUUCGGUUGCCUAAGGAUGGAUCUGCGGUCUAUCAGGUAGUAGUGGGUGUAAGGUACCUACUAGCCUACGACGGAUAUGGGUUGUGAGAGCAAGAGCCCAGAGAUGGAUUCUGAGACAUGAAUCCAGGCCCUACGGGGCGCAGCAGGCGCGAAAACUUUACAAUGCGGGAAACCGCGAUAAGGGGAUACCGAGUGCCAGCAUAUUAUGUUGGCUGUCCACAUGUGUAAACGGCAUGUGUUAGCAAGGGCCGGGCAAGACCGGUGCCAGCCGCCGCGGUAACACCGGCGGCCCGAGUGGUAAUCACUUUUAUUGGGUCUAAAGGGUCCGUAGCCGGUUUGAUCAGUUCUUCGGGAAAUCUGACAGCUCAACUGUUAGGCUUCCGGGGAAUACUGUCAGACUUGGGACCGGGAGAGGUAAGAGGUACUACAGGGGUAGGAGUGAAAUCUUGUAAUCCCUGUGGGACCACCAGUGGCGAAGGCGUCUUACCAGAACGGGUCCGACGGUGAGGGACGAAAGCUGGGGGCACGAACCGGAUUAGAUACCCGGGUAGUCCCAGCCGUAAACGAUGUUCGCUAGGUGUCAGGGACGGUG